UGAAUCCUAAACUUAAAACACUUCCCCACUUAAAAAAACCCUAAACACUAUAUAUAAAAAAAAGAUUUUUUCUCUAGAUUCUCUCUAGCACCUGAUUCUUGCGUUCAACCCUAGCAGCUGCUUCCUGAUAUUCAUUGAAAUGGAGGAUUCGCUGCCGAUGGAGCCACGUUGGCCACCUGAUAAGGAUAAAUCGUAGAGUGUUUAUCCAAAAACAAAAAAACAGUCCACAAAUGCAGCGGACAAUUCCUCGAAAUUGCGUGAGGAGAGUCAUAUCGUGAUUUCUGUAGAGGAAUUGGACUGGCAAAGAAUGUUUUGGAGUUAGCAGAUUCUGGUUCGCUACUGUUUAAAUUGAAGGCUUAAAUGGAAUUUCUAAAUCGCGAAAGUGGAGAGGAACGAUCGCGACUAAGUUCUGUUCCAAAUAUGAAUCGCUAUUUGACAUAUUGGAGAACUGGUAAAUCUCCUGAAUCUCAAAAGGAAUUUCGUCGAGGUUCUGAGAUGAAAUACGUGAAUCCAAAUAUUGGGAUUGGUUUUAGUGAACUGGGUGUACGAAAGUCAGAGAAAUAGAAACCAAAAACGAGCGCAUGUGUCGAUUUGAGUUUGGGAGGUAGUGAAGGAUCUCCGAUCCACAUUAAUGAUGAUGGGUGUCAAGGAAAGGUCUCCAGUAUUGAACAUUUUCAUUAUUCUUGAAAAAGUGAGUGUACUAAUCAUAAUCCACAAUAUGCUGCUAAUCUAGAAGGUUAAGAAAAUCUUCAAGAAAUCAGCAGGAAUAGGGUUGAUACACAACAACUUGUUCUUGGUGAUCGAGGGUGUAAUUUUCCAGGACAACCAUUGUAUCUGAAGGUAAGAACAUUCCAUCUAACAUUGCUUUUAGUAUUUCGAAGCUUAAAAUAUAGAUAGAGAGAAUGUUGGUUUAGCUGUUGUUGGUAGCAAUGGGAAUGGAGGUAUUGGUUCUGGCUGUGGCAAGAUUAUUGCAGCUACAAAUGCAUAUAAUGAUACUAUUAAAAAUGUUGAGGAUUUAGUUGAAUUAGCUAUAACUGGGAAUUAUGGGAAUGGGGGUGCAAUUGUUAUUGCUGCAAGGUACAAUCAACCACCAUUUCCACAAAUCUCUAUAAACUUUUUAGGACCUAGACAACAACCUAACUUAAAUAUGAAAGGUCAAUGAGGUUAUGAAAAAUUUAAAGAAAUAAAACCAGCUGAUAAACAAGAACCUGCACCUUAUACACUUAUCCAGACUUAUGAUGCCAGACUUAAGAUGUAACUUGACCAAAACUGCAGCUCCCAUUUUGUUUAGAAACCUAAGAUUACUAUGAAAUAAGCCAGACCUGCUGUUAUUUUUAAUGUAGAAGAUUUUCUCAUAAAAUGGAGGGACAAGUGUAAAUAUACUCUAAUUGGCAAGUUUAGUAAUGUAAUGCCUAAUGUGGAGCUGUUUAGACAGAGUUUUAUAAAUAUAACGCAGUUAUCAGGGGUUAAAAUUGAUCAUUUCAAUGCUAGACAUGUCUAUAUUGAUUUAGAUAAUGAACUUGAUUUCGUAACAGUUUGGACUAAACAAAGAAUGACUAUUGCGGGGCAGCCUAUGAGAAUUGAAACUUGGAGUCCUACCUUUAAACCUAUAGAAGAAACUCCAAUAAUGCCAGUUUGGAUAGUUCUUCUAGAGCUUCCUUAGCAUUGUUAUUAUAAGGAUAUCCUAAUAGCUUUAUUGGCCCCAAUUUGUAAAGUUCUAUAUCGAGACAAUGCUACGGUUAACAAGAUUAGGGGGGUAGCAUGGCAAUGGUUUGAAUCCAUCUAGAUCUUACUAAGGAAAGACCUAACAUGUGUGGAUUGGUUGUGAUGAAGAGGAUCUGAAUAUAUGUCAAUGGCAAUGUAUUGAGUAUGAAAAUGUGUCUACAUAAUGUCCUUAUUGCAAACACCAAGGUCACAUGAUCACUGAUUGUACUGUCAAGAUAAGAGAUGAAGAGUUUAAUCAAAGAAAAUAGCUAGAAGCUAUCAUGAAGGACAAGAAUAAUUUAGGAAAAAACAAUGGUGCAGGGGAUAUGAAGCAAGCUUCACAAGUUGAAGGUGGAAUGCAGAAAGGUAAAAAACCUGCAACGAAUAAAUCAAUAAUGCACCAGAUUCCAGAAAUGGUAGAGAAAGGAGAUAAUUGACAAUAACAAAGAAAGCAAACAACAGUUUGGGAACCUACAGUUCAAGAAAAAAACAAGGAACAAGGUACAAAUACAUUAAUUCAAUUGGAGAUGAGUUCUUCCUCAAUAAAGGGAGACCAACCAGAACAUACAGAGGAACGACCUAAGAUAAAUAUGCAGGGACAACAAAAAACUGUUGAAAUGCAGAUUUGUUUGCAGGGGAUGGAGUUGAGUGAUUCACAACAAAAAGUCAUGCAGGCCAUGCACAGCAGAAUGUAACAGGCAAUGUACAUAUAUAGAGGAGGGAGGCAGUGGCACUGGUGUAGGUACAGGGAUUGGUUUGAAGAAGAAAAUGGUGGCUGAAACUAGGCAAGAAGGCAAUGCAUCGAGCUUGGAGUGCCUGCUCUUAUUACAGAUUCUAGCAGUCAAGAAACUGCAAACAACAGCGAACAUCAACAACAAGAUAAAACAAUGGAAGGAAGUUCUCCACAAGAUGAAGAAUCUCCACAAAACAGUUACUACAUAUCCAAAUCAAGACUGAGUAAAAAAAGAAGAAAUACAAUUAAAAAAUGACAAGGGAAGGAAUAGUAUCAGCUAUAAAAAUAUGAAGAAGUGGAUGAAUAUAGCCAUAUAGUGUCUCAGGAUGAGUAUGAUAAUGAUACUCGAUCUUUAGACAGUAAGGAAGAUGAAGAAGAGGUAAAAUCACCUUCCACACUAACUAUGAAGAAGAAAUAUAAGAACUAAAACACAAACAAGGGUUGUAACCAAGAGGAAGGAAGAUUAUAAGACAUAAUCUAUGUUCGAAGAACACUAGAAGGCCAAUCAAAAGGGCUAGAAGUAGAGGCUUAUGAUAAUACUUAAAGUUGUGUAUUACAGUACUAUUAUAUUUUUCAUGUUGUAUAUUGUAGAUGUACAAAUUGAUUUUAUCAUCCAAGUCUUUGAUUAGAAUAGGCUAUUGUAUGUUAAUAGACUUUUUUGAAAUGAGAGAGUCUCCCUCUUUUAUGAAUUAUUACGAAAAAUUUUUAAA